CCUACGGGAGGCAGCAGUGAGGAAUAUUGGUCAAUGGACGAGAGUCUGAACCAGCCAAGUAGCGUGAAGGAUGACUGCCCUAUGGGUUGUAAACUUCUUUUAUAAAGGAAUAAAACGAGGCACGUGUGCCUUUUUGCAUGUACUUUAUGAAUAAGGAUCGGCUAACUCCGUGCCAGCAGCCGCGGUAAUACGGAGGAGCCGAGCGUUAUCCGGAUUUCUUGGGUUUAAAGGGAGCGUAGAUGGGUUGUUAAGUCAGUUGUGAAAGUUUGCGGCUCACCCGUAAAAUUGCAAUUGAUACUGGCAGUCUUGAGUACAGUUGAGGUAGGCGGAAUUCGUGGUGUAGCGGUGAAAUGCUUAGAUAUCACGAAGAACCCCGAUUGCGAAGGCAGCUUACUAAACUGUGACUAACAUUGAUGCUCGAAAGUGUGGGUAUCAAACAGGAUUAGAUACCCCAGUAGUC
rnacentral:rRNA from 1 species